rnacentral:misc_RNA from 1 species
AGGCUUGGUCUAGUGGUAAGGAGCGUUACAAACUUUGGCCUGCUAUCACCGCCUGGUCCGUGGGUUCGAAUCACACCGAUGGUAUUGAGUAACCCUUGUUGAAUUGAAAUGAAAGCAGCUUGGUUCUUUAUGCUGUGAAUGAAAUAUGGAGAAUGGCAUGAAUUUGUAGUGUGAGCUCCAUGCGCUCUUCCUUAGUUAAGCUCUAAGUGGAAACUCAAAUGUCAUAGAAGGUGGACCUGAGAGCUUUUCUCUCAGGAAGGAAGCAGGAAUUUCUUUCAUUUCACAUAACAGCUCACAAGGAAUACUGUUACCGCGGUAUACCUGAAUAUUCGAACCAACAAACUAAACCGGUAAAAGCGGCAUAUCGAUCCAGAGGAAAGAGGGACUAGAGACAAGGCGGCAGGCGGCAGCAAGAGUCAGUGAUUCAACAUUGCCAGAGCAUUAACCGCAGCUCCAACACUAACGCUAAUGGACUAUGGAAACUUGAUAUUGUAGAGAUCUCCCAUUACAAGGCAUACACAGCAAUCUAAAUGAGGAUGGCGCUUCCCUCAUUUAUACUCCCAGCUACCCCAUACCCCAUUUCAGCAUAUCUACUCUCACUCUCAAAGUAUGGA